CCCCCUAUUCCCCCACGACGUCGUGACUACCUCCACUACGAUCCUUCCCCUGCUUAUGGAGAUGACAGUUCCAAGCAUACUCCAACAUCUCUCUCCCUACACGCACAACUAGCCAUGGCCGCGCGGCCACUGCAACCCGUGCGAGCACACCCUGCGAUGCACGAGUGUUGCUCUGCACAACCGCUCGACGGUCGUCCCCCAGAGCUUCCCCAUGAUGCGCGUCGUGAAGCCCCUCGACGAAGACCCUAGGAACACCUGCAGGGGUCGGCCAUCGUGCACAGGUGAGAACCCACUCCUCUCUCUCCCUCGUCCCGCCGGCGUCGUCCCUCCGCUCGCGUGCCCUUUCUCGGCGCGAGCGCGUCCCUGCGCAGCGGAGCUGGGUGGCCGUGCUCCAGCCCCUCCUCCCCUCACCUAGCCCUGAGCGCGGUAGCCUCUUGCAGGCCCCCUCGCGCGGCGCCACCGCCGCGCAGCGCCCAUGCCCCUCGCGGCCAGUCCACAACGGUGCCCCGGCCAACCCCCUGGCCAGCAGCGGCGUAGCGCCCAUCCCAACAGCGAGCAACCGCCAGCCAUGCACGCCGACUCCUUGCUGCCAUUACCCCGCCCCGCGUGACGUCCAACUCCAGCUGGUGUUGCGUCGCCUUGCCGCAUGAUGCGCGUGCCGUCGUGCUCGUGAAGAAAAGCAAACCGUCCGUGUGGCCGUGUGCGAGUAUGUAGGCUAGGAGAAAAGAACGGACGUUGGGCCUCACAAACAUGCAUGUGCAGGCAGCGUUCCUCCAUGAUUUUCCUGCAUGCGUACAGAUUCUAGAGCCAAAACGAAAUUGCCGAUCCCUUGGAUAUCGUAUUUCCCUCCCCAGCCAGGCUGCAUGCCAGAGAAAUAAUCCUUAAGGAUUCUCUGUGCCCCAAAUUUGUGGCCCUAGGUGUGGCUUGUUUCGACCAAUAAAAAUGUGCCACGUCGUUAUUAAUCUGCGAUUAGUUAAAAUAUAUUAACUUUUGCGUUAGACAUCUGAAUUAAUAUGUUUCUAUUGAGUUAGCUUCGUAAUAAUAUCAUGCACACAUUAAACAUAUUAUCUUGUCAUAACGUAUGUUUGUUUUACUUAAUUGUAAGUUGGUCUGUUGGUUAUUAACAUAGCAAUUUAGUUAAAACUAUUUUAUGGUUUUAAGUUACACUUUUAUAAAUAUACGUUAAAAUGAUUAAUACCAACUCAAAUAAGUACUAAUUUAAUUAUUACCAACUUAAACGUUUGGAUUCGAUACUGGUUUAGUAUAAAUAUGUCAUCUAUUUAGUUUUUCUCGCCUGUCGCGCGUGCGGUUCUGCACUCGGUGGCGUGCUGUUUCAAGCGUCGUUCUCUCUAGUCGCGCGUACUGUCUCGUGCGUUGUUUUGCGCAGUGUCGCGCGUCCUCACACGUCAUUCUCAUGUGCCGCACAUGCCAUUUUUCGCGUGCGUCGCGCAUGCCCUUUUCGCGUCGCGCACCUUGUCGUGCGUCACCACGCGUCAUUCGCGCAUGACGCACGCGUCGUUUUUGCGUGUAGUGCACAUUGCCGCACGUUGUUCACGCAUGUCACGCGUGUCCGUGCGUCGUUCGCACGCUGUCGUGCUGUUUCGCGCGUCGUAAAUUUGCCUCACUUAGAUUCUCUCGUUUUAAUUAAAUUAUUUACUUAACUGACAUUGGUUAGUGUAGCAGAUUAAUCGAGCUAAAUGAUAGAUAUUAUUUAUAUUUGAUAACGUCGAAUUAAAUACUAUAGUUAAUACUUGUUUAGCGUAAACGCGCUAACCCCUCGACCGUAGCUCUUACUUUCGUGUUUCUUAUCCUCGCAUAACUGUAGGAGCGCUCUCUAUUUUAUAUUGCUCGCUUUUAUAACAUUUUAUCUUGUAUGGUGUAAUGUUCUUAUGUAUAUGUAUAUAUUUGUUUGCUUGUGCCUGUUCGUCUUCGCUUCGCGUUGCGAUUAGAUCGUGAUUCGUUUCUGAGCUUCGAGGAAUCGACGGUCAAGCUUCAACGACCAAAUGACCCAGUUCUUCGAGUUCCACGAGAUUGAAGACCCUGAGCAUAUGUUUGGUGAAGGCAAGUGUCCCUUGACCUAUCUCUGUCCUAUACAUUCUUUAAUUCACCUCCCGCAUUACACAGUUAUACCUAAGGAUUUACUAGCUUUUGUUAUCCAUGUCCUUGUUUACCUAUCUGGGUUGGAUUAUUAUUGUUUAGCUUUAUGCUAUUGCUCAGCUCUAAUCAAUGAACAUGAUGAGAUUUAUCAAUGAUACGUUGUUUCCCCCCCCCUUUAUUAUGAUGUUAUACUUGUGACCUUCAAGGGGGCUCGAGCGGUUUCUCGAGUGCUUCUCCGUAAGGACCUGUUCGUUGGAUGACCGCCCGGGAAAACAGUGCAACCAUGAGGGUGGAAUGGGAUGCCCUUAGCUAAAUAAUUAGAGGAACCGGGGUGUAGCUCGCUUAGCCAUCGUGCCGUCAAUGGGGCUCGGUGUAUGCGGCUCGCUCUGCCAAGUUUGGGUUCGCCCCUUUGGGAGGAGUGUGGUGCAUUUAGGAAACCUAACGGGUGGCUACAGCUCCGGGGAAUCUUUGUAAAGGCUACGUAGUGAUGCCCUGCUGGGUCACCUUGGUAGUGAUCAAUGGAGAGUCAUGAUCUCUGGGCAGAAAGGGAAUCACGACUUGUGGGUAAAGUGCACAACCUCUGUAGAGUGUCUGAAAACUGAUAUAUCAGCCGUGCUCACGGUAUGAGCGGCCAAGGGAGCUCCAGUGAUUAGUGGUACUUGAUCAGAGAUGUUCGGAUUGCAGGUGGCAAUGAGAUUGAUGGUUCUUGGUAUUAACACUGGUAAUGGUAAGUGGUACUCUUUCCAUUUGGAAAGGAGUACGUUUGGGUUAAUAACGUGGGUUAAAUCUAAAACUUGGCUUUCUCUACUAGUAAUAAUAAUCUGACCAACUAAAAGCAACUGCUUGACUUACCCCCACAUAAAAGCUAGCCCACUACAGCCAAACAGGAUACUUGCUGAGUAUGUUGAUGUGUACUCACCCUUGCUCUACACACCAAACCCCCCCAUCCCCAGGUUGUCAGCAUUGCAACCACUGCUCAGGAGAAGAUGAAGUCGUGGAAGGAGACUUUCAGGAGUUCCAAGACUACGACGAGUUCUAGGCGUGGGUUAGCGGCAACCCCCAGUCGGCUGCCUGUGAAGGCCGCGUUUAUCUACGUUUCGUUUUUGCACUUUGAUUAUUUGUAAAGACUAUGUGGAUGUCUCAGACUUAUGAUGUAAUCGACUAUUAUUCCCUUUUUAGUACUAUUUGAGCACUGUGUGAUGAUGUCCAUGUUAUGUAACUGCUGUGUACGUGAAUUGCUGAUCCUGGCACGUACAUGGUUCGCAUUCGGUUUGCCUUCUAAAACCGGGUGUGACAUCACUACAACAAAUUUGUAGAGCUAUUAAAGUAGUCCAAUUUUGAUUAAGGGAGUGAGCCCUAGAGUUGUACAAAACUGGAGUAAAAUGGCCUGCAAGUUGAGCUAUCAGUCGUGUGUUGGCCUGAAGGUUAGAUUGACAGUGGCAUCAGAUCAACUUUAGAGUUGAUAUGUGCUUGAUCAAGUGGAGGUAUGAACAAGAACCCUAUAAAAAAUUGAAGCUGGUAUGAUGGACAACAACUUUGCUAUAGAUGGCUUGGUAGAUUGUUGAAUAAAAAUCGAAGAGAAAUGACUCUCAAAUCGCUCUGUCAUGCGAGCUGAAUGAACAUCGCCAUGGUACAGUGCACUGAAGAAGAUCCUUGGUGCAGUGUACCUCACCGCCGGUGAUCGGGCACCACGAUUCGAGCUCUCCAUGAAGAUUCGUGCAUGGAUCAACGCGGAUAUUACCGGGGAAGUGAAAAGAUUGUGACUGUGGAUAAACUUGUGAGCUGCACCGUAACCACUUGCUUCGCGACCGGACGGGAUGUCAUCGUCGGCGUCCGCCGCUCGCCGCGAGGAUGCCACAUGCUUGGAGACAUUACCACGUUGCAAUAGGUCGCUGUGGACAGCCCAUUUACCGCCUGGGGCCUUACCUCACCGAGCGCCACAACAGUUGCCCUCCGAUGAGUCACCCCCUUCCGGUCGUGAGAUCAUCUCAUCCCAAAUUCGUGACAGACUCACGUAGCUACUAUAAAUUAAAGGCACUCCCUGCUCCACCUUCUGGUUAUGCACCUAGCGCACCCUUCUUUCACCUCCAAUUACCCACCAGAGCUCACAAAUUCCAAUUUCCCCCCAUCUUGGUCAUUUACGCCGCCGUGAAGCACCCAGCCGCGACCAACUGUUCCUAGGUUCGUUCAUUCCCUCUGUGCCAUGUUUUAGCAUCCUUGAAUGUUAACAUAGCUCGUCGGCCCAACCGAUUGAAUAUUACCACGAUAGAGCAUCGAGAACAUGACCUCGCCGCCGCAGAACACGUAUGAGAGCGUGCUCCCGUCGACCCACUUUCCCACACCCGCUCCGUUCAAAUUCACGCGUGUACCCGACCUCUGGUGAAUUAGUGAAACUCGCCCUAGCUCCAAUUUAAACUCUACCAUGUUUGGUUGUUCGGAACACGCUCACCGGAGCUCUAGCGUCGCCGAAGCCAUGAACAAACAUUAAUUAGGGUUGGACCAGUCCAAUUAAGUGAGGGAAAAUGCUCAGGUAGGCUCACGCUUGGUGUUCGAGUGCUUGUUGCCUCAUGGAAGGGUCGUCGUCGCCAGGAAACCACGAGUCCGGUCAUGUGUUCGAUGCGACUCCAUCGAGGACCUAGAGCCGUGAAGAAACAAAAGUCCAGGGAUCUUUGCGCAUAUGUCAGUGAGACACGUAAAUAGUACCUGGGGUUCUUUACUAGUUAUUCGAAUACCUAGGGUCCUUCACGCAAAUCUGUAAAGGGGACGAGCUCUGCGGGGGUCGUUUCCUCUACGUUCGUGGGUCGAGCCCAUUGGUUUCAGUCCACUACUAUUGAAUCUUUUUCUUUUUCUUUUUCUUGACAACUAAUAAAUUACACUAGAAAUUGUAGACAAAUGAUAAAAUUAGUUGUAAGAUUGUGUAGCCUCUGAUAAAAUUAGUUGUAAGAUUUUUGCAGCAUCAAGUAAAUUUUUAGUUAUUUAAAAGUACACUUGGGCGACUUAAAGGAAUUUUAGAAAUAAAACCAUAGGUCCAAAAAUCGUAAAUAUUUGUGGAAAAAAUAUAUACCCUUGGAAUAGCUUCUGGUAAAAAUUUGAGCCUGUUUGAAGUUGAUUUACCCAGAGAACCAGAAACUAACUAAAUAUAAGUAUUUAAAACCCUAAACUUGGAUACUAGUUUAGGGUUAGAGCAAACUUGAGUUAUACAUAGUGUUAAACAACAAAAUUGACCAACUAGAACAUAUAUAGUUCUCUGAUUUUCUAAAGAAAGAUUAAUUCGAUCCCUUUAGACAAAGGCUAUAUUACCCAGAAACAUGAGUGUAAUUGCAUAUCCUUAGUUAAGAAUAUGUGAGCCUUCCACCUCUCUCUAAAUGAAAGUUUGCAUAGCAUAUCAUUACAUGAGUAUUCAUAUACUUCUAAUUGACUUAUAGAGCACUUAGAAGAAGAAGUUGAAGUGGAAGUGGAAGAGGAGUCAGCUCCUCAAUCUGAGGUUUCUCCAACUGAACGUGCUCCGGAAGGUCUUUCAGAAGGUGCCCUAGCAGGGUUUACUGCAAUUGCAAUAUCCUAGUAGAAGAGUCUGGCUCUCCUCCUCAUCAAGGCAAGCCCCAGUGCAUUUGCCACCUCCUUAUUGUUUUAAAUCUUUUAUCACUUAUAUGUUGCAUUAGGUAGUAGGAGUUGAAUGGUUAAACCCUUGCUGCAUAACUUCCUUGAAUUAUUGAUUAUCGUCCUUGAUACUUGAUUUGAAAAGCUAGAAAUGCUUAGUAUGCUUAUAGACAAGGAACAAAAUGUUUUGAUAUAUGAAUCAUGUUUUUACAAAGAAAAAGAGACUAGAGUGAUAAUGUAUCAAAGGCCUUGAUAACUUCAUCAUUUCAGUAGGGUACCUCUGACAUGUACCAUAUUUUCAGAAAUACUUUAAUGUGAGACCAGACAUUGAGCAGGAAAGGUCGCCCGUCUGUGUCGAUUAAGGACCGCAACAAAAGUAGGCUUGCUGAUCUAGGACCUUUAACUGGCCACAUGCCUCGUCAUGGGUAAGCUUAGCCUUGACUGGACCAAUACUAGAAAGGUCGGCCCGCAAUGGGAGUGGAGAGAUGGCGAGAGUAUCGUGUAUCCACCUGGCAAGAUGCUGGAUGGUGGGGUACUGAGCUCUCGGUUGGCGGGGACCCGUUCUGGUCUUGAGAAAACCGGGUGCAAGUUGACAUAUGCAAGGUUAAGUGCUACAUAUGUUGUGUGGUUGGAGAUCCCCAGAUGGGUAUUAAUCGAUUCGGAUUACCGUUACUUCUCGGAUAUGAAGACUGGAUCACUGCCGUGCAUAGUAGUUAACAAGUGAAACUAAAGAUGCUAAAAUAAAGCUAGUGUAGCACAAGUGAAUGCUCUAUAUUAGGAAAAAUCUAGAUUCAGGAAAAAUACUUAACUUGUGAAGUAAAAGUUUGGCAUAAGGAUCCACUACUAGUGAGCUUUUCUGCAAAAAGAGUCUUUGAAAUUUGAUAAGCUUUACCUUAAUUCCCGAACAAGCCAGCAUAUCCUUGAGAGUCUUUUGUUUAGUCGGAUAAGUCUUGCUGAGUAAUUGCGUCCUCAGGGUUUUAUUCCCAUUGUUGCUGCAAGAGAGACUAUUAACACCUUUGAGUUUUGUUAAAUUCACACUGAAGGCUUUUACUUUUGUUUAUGUUUAUUAUGUGUGUACUAUGGGAAGAUGGCUUCUUCCAAGGUGUUGUAAUAAGUUAGCACUUGAAUCUACCUCGGGCAUGUAAUAAUAUUACAUACU
rnacentral:lncRNA from 1 species